GGGCGGGUGGCGCAGCCUGGUUAGUCGUGCCUGUCUUAUAAGCAGGAGGUCGGGAGUUCAAAUCUCCCUCCGCCCACCA
rnacentral:tRNA from 1 species